GUGUCAGCAGCCGCGGUAAUACGAAGGGGGCUAGCGUUGUUCGGAAUUACUGGGCGUAAAGCGCGCGUAGGCGGCGACCUUUGUCAGAGGUGAAAUCCCGAGGCUCAACUUCGGAAUUGCCUUUGAAACGGGGUUGCUUGAGUCCGAGAGAGGAUGGCGGAAUUCCUAGUGUAGAGGUGAAAUUCGUAGAUAUUAGGAAGAACACCGGUGGCGAAGGCGGCCAUCUGGCUCGGUACUGACGCUCAGGCGCGAAAGCGUGGGGAGCAAACAGGAUUAGAAACCCCCGUAGUCC
rnacentral:rRNA from 1 species